AGCCCAUUGAGGAACAGGCUCCUUGUCCUUCUCCUUUGAGAGAUCAGCCACCUUUCCUCCCCAAGCAGAUCAUGUCUCAGUAGACUUUUUCUCAUCUAUGGUGGAUGGGGGCGGGGGCUCUGCAGGCAGAGUGCCCCCACAAUCACUGAAGCUUAUUGCAGCUGA